rnacentral:rRNA from 1 species
GACGAACGCUGGCGGCGUGCCUAAUACAUGCAAGUUGAGCGAUGAAGAUUGGUGCUUGCACCAAUUUGAAGAGCAGCGAACGGGUGAGUAACGCGUGGGGAAUCUGCCUUUGAGCGGGGGACAACAUUUGGAAACGAAUGCUAAUACCGCAUAAUAACUUUAAACAUAAGUUUUAAGUUUGAAAGAUGCAAUUGCAUCACUCAAAGAUGAUCCCGCGUUGUAUUAGCUAGUUGGUGGGGUAAAGGCUCACCAAGGCGAUGAUACAUAGCCGACCUGAGAGGGUGAUCGGCCACAUUGGGACUGAGACACGGCCCAAACUCCUACGGGAGGCAGCAGUAGGGAAUCUUCGGCAAUGGACGAAAGUCUGACCGAGCAACGCCGCGUGAGUGAAGAAGGUUUUCGGAUCGUAAAACUCUGUUGGUAGAGAAGAACGUUGGUGAGAGUGGAAAGCUCAUCAAGUGACGGUAACUACCCAGAAAGGGACGGCUAACUACGUG